CCGGUCUCGCCUGCCCCGCCGCGCCCCAGGGCCCGCUCAGCUCCCCGCAGCCCUGGAGGUGCCCUCAGCGCCCCAGGGCCCGCUCAGCUCCCCGCAGCCCUGAGGGUGCCCUCAGCGCCCCACGGCUCCCAGCCCGCAGCUCCGAGGCCUCUGCCGGCACCCCGCGGAGCUCUCCUCAGGCCCCCGCCAGCACUCCGUUGCCCUGUGCCCCCCUCAGCGCCCACCGCACCGCUGUGGGUGCCCCACGGGCCUCCUCUGGCAGCCCAGGGCUCCAGGCCUCCGGGGCUGCCCAGCAGAGCCCCUGCCCGGCAGAGCAGGCCCGGCCCGGUGCAGCUGGCUGUCCCACAGUUAUCGAGCGUUGGCUUUUCUCUGGAGACAGAGUCGAGCCACAGUGACAGACGGGGAAAACUCUCACGCUUCGAAGUGCCCAUAAAGGAAGGAGGAGCACCCCUAGACCACUGAGACAGGCACCCCUCCCCAGCAGAGGAUGAACUCCUUUGGUGCCAACAUGACUCUUCUGCAAUUUUAUUGGAGGCGAAGGAAUUAAAAACAGUUCCCUAUUCUUCAGGCGAGACACUUCCCCAGUCUUUUGCUUGAGUGCUUUUGUCUGACAGCAUCCCUGCCAGGCUUAAUGCGAUGCACAUGGCUCGUCCCGCACUGCUCCAUGCACCACCCCGCGCUCUUCCAUCAAGAAUGUUGCUGGCCAAUAGCAUCAGUCAGGGACUUUUUGCUGCAGGUGGUGUGACCACUAAGAAGUGCUGUCACUCGCAUACGUUGAAUGUUAGAUUACAGUGCAGGAACGAAAUACCGCUCCUCUUGCCUUUUAAGUCUAAAAGCAGGAUAAGAGAAAGAGGGAAAGGACAGCAGUCUAAAUAUACUGUGUGCGACAUACUGCUUUUCUAAUUGAUUCUGCAGUUUUCUUCCUCUUCCUCCUGCUGUCUUCAUCUCUGUGUUUAGAGAUCCACAUCUUUAAUUUUUUUCCUUCCACCCAGAAAUGAGGCCCAUACAUGGAUAAAAAAAGAAAUUCAGGUUGAAACAAGCAGAGUAAAAACUACCAAAGAGUGAAAGCUGUUAAUCAAUGCCGUAGUCUUUCAAAGGAAGAGGGAAUAAUUCAUGCUGGAAAUAUUCAGAACUAAACUGGAGGAAUCCUGACGAUGAGAUAACAAGGCACAGUCCCUCAGAAGCCCCCAGGGAAUAGAUAAAAAUACUUAAUUGGGUUUUUUUGAUCUCAGAUAUCUAAAUUAUCCAAUCGCAUUGUGCAAGCACAUUCAGCAGAUUGCUAACUGAUCAGCCACAAAAUCCUGUUGCACUUUGCAUUGUGUUCCAAAAGUGAACAACCCACUGAAAUUAAUGAGACAAUUCUCAUCUCUCAUGAGGUCAAACCAAUUACACAGGCAUAGCCAGCGGGUACUAUCUGUAGUGGAAAAAAAAAAAAAAAAAACAAACAAAACAAAA